rnacentral:rRNA from 1 species
AUUGAACGCUGGCGGCGUGCUUAACACAUGCAAGUCGAACGAAGUGGCGAACGGGUGAGUAACGCGUAAUCAACCUGCCCUUCAGAGGGGGACAACAGUUGGAAACGACUGCUAAUACCGCAUACUGAAGGAGGGGAUUGCGUCUGAUUGGCUAGUUGGCGGGGUAACGGCCCACCAAGGCGAUGAUCAGUAGCCGGGCCGUGAGGAUGAACUGUCACAUUGGGAAUGAGAAACGGCCCAGACUCCUACGGGAGGCAGCAGUGGGGAAUCUGCCGCAAUUGACGAAAGUCUGACGGAGCAACGCCGCGUGAGUGAUGACGGCCUUCGGGUUGUAAAGCUCUGUUAAGCGGGACGCGGUACCGGAAUAGAAAGCCACGGCUAACUACGUGCCAGCAGCCGCGGUAAUAC